AUACUUACCUGGCAGGGAGAUACCUUGAUCACGAAGGAGGUUUUCCCAGGGUUGAGGCUCAUCCAUUGCACUCCGGGUGUGCCUGACCCCUGCGAUUUCCCAAAUGCGGGAAACUCGACUGCAUAAUUUUGUGGUAGUGGGGGACUGCGUUCGCGCUUUCCCCUG
rnacentral:snRNA from 1 species